rnacentral:rRNA from 1 species
GAUGAACGCUGGCGGCGUGCCUAAUACAUGCAAGUCGAGCGAACAGAUGAGGAGCUUGCUCCUCUGACGUUAGCGGCGGACGGGUGAGUAACACGUGGAUAACCUACCUAUAAGACUUGGAUAACUUCGGGAAACCGGUGCUACUACCGGAUAAUAUAUUGAACCGCAUGGUUCAAUAGUUAAAGACGGUUUUGCUGUCUCUUAUAGAUGGAUCCGCGCCGCAUUAGCUAGUUGGUAAGGUAACGGCUUACCAAGGCAACGAUGCGUAGCUGACCUGAGAGGGGGAUCGGCCACACUGGAACUGAGACACGGUCCAGACUCCUACGGGAGGCAGCAGUAGGGAAUCUUCCGCAAUGGGCGAAAGCUGGACGGAGCAACGCCGCGUGAGGGAUGAAGGUCUUCGGAUCGUAAAACUCUGUUAUGAGGGAAGAACAAAUGUGUAAGUAACUAUGCAGGUCUUGACGGUACCUAAGCAGAAAGCCACGGCAAACUACGU